rnacentral:lncRNA from 10 species
GUCCAGAGAAGAUUUAGGAGAGUGAUCUAACCUGGCUCCCCAGUCAAGGAGUCUAACCAAAUGCUGGAGUUGAAGGUACAGAGCCAAAGUGAGGGGUAGGUGCAGAAACCAAAACACCAGGGUGAUCAUAUAUUGAAAAUAAGUACAACGAAAGGGGCAGAGACUGUGUGCCUUUUUUAUGGCCCCUCAACUAUCCUAUUUUAAUUCUGGCUUGGAAAAGAACUCAUUCCUUGGAUGGUUACACAGGGGUGUCAUUGAGAUCUGGUAUCAACCCAGGCCAUGGAGCUGAAUGGAGAAGAAAUGCCUUCCAUCCCUUCCAACCAUUUGGCUUCUCCAGUCCCUCACCUCAAGCAAACCUCAUCAAGGUUUUCCGAUUUCCAGACCCAGGUCCUGAGCAACUAUGUAAAUGCAAACAAACACUGGUGAUGACUGUAAGGCCAUCAAACUCCAAACAGUCAUGCAACCAGAGCCUCUGAAGAUGGCCCCUUCUGCCGGGAACCCUUAGAUCAGCCUCUGAGGGAGUUCUGCCAUUUCCCCAAAACAGCGCCCCCUGUCAGCAGGAAGCGGUUAAGAUCAGUCUUCAUCCUUAUCCUUAAUCUAACCACAGUUAGAUGUACUUCUUUAGAGGGGGGAAUGAGACAGCCAGUGGGAGGGGAUUCCUGGAGAAACUCCAAGCAGCCUGCGCACUGGGGUGGAGCCUUGGGAAGUUCACACGAUUUGAAGCAGGGAGGAGCCUGCCUCGUCGUCUUCCUGUGUGGACCUGGGAUUCAAACGCCAGAGCAUGGUGUUGAUGACGCGGGGAGGUGGCUGCACAAUUAGAGAUACACUUCCUAGCUACCCUGGAUUCAGGUUUGUCCAUGUGCUAGCCCCCACCAAAGGAACUUGAGAAGAGAUUGUGUCACCUCCAUGCUGAAAGCAUUUAAGCAGCAGAUAGAUCUGAGAUGGAGAACUCAGAGGCACCAGAGUAUGGUGGAAUCAAAAGGUGGAAAGAGCCUGGGUUCCCUGAAUGAUUCCAUGGAGAAAAACUGCCCACUAAUCAGAAAUAUUCAUGUUGGACUCAAAGAAGUAAGAAAUUAAAAAUUUGGUGUUUAUUCAUUGGAGCAGCUAAAGUAAACCUAUAAAUCCAAAUCCAAAAGUAAAGUAAAAGAAAAUUUGACAUAUUGGAGUUUUUAAAAAUUCCUGGCUAUGGAAAGGUUUGAGAAAUAGUUAUAAUCUUAAAAUACAUGGGCUGGUCUCAUAAUUAAAAUGCUAUAACCAUUGAAAGUCAUCUCAUUAGUCCAAAACAUUUAAUUAAUAUUAAUAGUCACAUUUUUCCUAAGUAUUAAAAGUUACUGGAACAAGUUGGGGGUCUCUUGUUGAAACAAAUUAUCAGAAUAAAGGAAAAACUUAAUUUACCAACUGAGAAAUUGAAAGACAUUAAAAGCAUAGAUGGAGGUGAAAGUGAGAGAAAGGUAUGAAGUACAAUGGGUGUUUUUCUAGAUCAGAAGUAGUCAGGCGAGUUAUUCCAUUUCCAUUUUCUCAUUGAAAUGUUUAAUAUCUAUUUUGUUUAUCUGUUAAAAGGUCACGUCAGAAAAAAAGUUACAUCUCUUUAAAAACAUUCAAGAACUAAGAGAAGCAAAUCAGUAUCAUUGUUAAUAAAUUAGAAUAAUGAGAACAGGUCUGUAUAUUGAAGGAUAAUAAAUUAAUUUCAUUUAUCUUUAAGAUUAGAUUUGGAAGUUCAAGGAAAUUUGUGAUUACACAUUUUAAUAUAGAUAUAUUAAUAGAAAUAGAAGUUUAGAAACAAAAUGAGAGAUAAGAAUUAAAUGGAUGACAUCUUUAAGAACUGUCUAAGUUGACAUUGUAAUGUAAGAAAUGCAUCUCUGUUUAGAGAAUAAGAAUGGACAGGUUUUCUUCAAUAUAAGGAGCAGGUCUUUUUAAAAGGUCACUUAACUGUAUAUUUUUUGAAAUAUAUCCAAGCUGCUAAGUAAUUAUGUGUAAUAUUUUUAAUAGACCAUUUAUUUUUCAUAAAGUAAAAUUAAUAUAUUUAUAAGCUGAAAGACCAUUUUAAUUGUGUUUUGAUUCAUUUCUAAGAAUUUCUAUAGCAACUGUCACCAUAGUUUUCUGAUUUUCAGACAAAUGUAUUGAAAAUUUAGAAAAAUCUUUCAGUAAGUGGAAAUUUUCACUCUGAUAAAAUUAAAAGAUGAUGAAUUAUAGAAAGAAACUCAAGAUGUAUUUUUAAAAAAUGUUUGCUUAAAUGAAGUAAUUACCUUGGGAAAAUAUUUCCAGAUAUUCCAAAAAGAUGACUAAGAAAUGAAAUGUAUCAGAGGAAUGACUUGGUUAUCUGCAUUCUUUGAGGCAAUUCAUGAACUCGAUUUCAUCUGAGGAAUGCCAUGCACUUAACUCUCUGGCCUGAAGACUCUAAUUAUCUAUUUGAGGGAUCUACCUGGCCCACUUAACAGCUUCAGUUUGGGCCCAAUUAGGAAGAGUAAGAGAGGCAUCUUAUAGAUUUUCCCUACUCACCAACAUACAUGCCAGCCAUGCCAGGACUUUGAUGGUAGCAGGCUAAGCCAUGUCCCACACUGCCAAGAUGUUCCUAUGCCCAACCCAAGCUAUUUACCUGGCUCACUGGCCCCUGGUUCUCUUUGCCAUCUCUUCUCCCCGCUAAGGCCAGGUCCCUUUUCAACCUUGUGUCUAAUACUCCACCAAGGUCUCACCCAAGUCUGGGCUGUCCCUUCUGUGCCUAGAACAGGUCGUUGCCAUCCAAUACCUGGCACUGCAUAAUAUAUAAAUGGGACAAUUCAAAAGCCAAAGGUGAGAUACUAGAUCAUUUCUAACACAUUAGAAUGCCAAAAUCAGGUUUACGUCACUUCCAUUCAGAAACACGAAGACUAACAACAAAUAAUAACAAAUACUGAAGACUAAAGAUAACAGUAAAAUAAUCAGUUUAUAAUACUUAUAAUUAUAAAAAUUAAGUUUUAAGAAUUUUUUUUAAUUGAAAGGAAAGCAUCAAUAGAAAUGAGAUAUAUUUCAAUUAAUAAAAUAUAAAAAACAGAAUUCCAAGAGCACAGAAAUUUACAAAAUACAGAAAACAGAAAACAAGAUGUCUAAAGUAAGAAAUUAAAUUUUGCUUUUUUCAACCAAAAUCCUUAUGUAGUCAUGCCUUGCUUAACAGCAGAAUAUGUUCUGAGAAAUGUAUUGUUAGGCAAUUUCAUCAUUGUGCCAACAUCAUAGAGUGUAUUUAUGUAAACUGAGGUGGUAUAGCCUACUAUUCACCUAGGCUCUAUGGUACAGCCAAUUGCUCCUAGGCUACAAAUCUAUAUAGCAUAUAACUGAACUAAGUACUACAGCCAAUUGUAACACAAUUAAGCAUUUGUAUAUCUAAACAUAUCUAAACAUGGAAAACGUACAGUUAAAAUAUGAUAUUAUAACCUCAUCAGACCACCAUGGGAUAUGCUGUCCAUCAUUGAUCAAAAUGUCAUUAUGUGGCACAUGACCAUACUUCAUAUGCCUUUUGUCUCACAAAUUCACUUCUAGAAAAUUAUUCCGGCCAGGCACGGUGGCUCACGCCAAUAAUCCCAGCACUUUGGGAGGCCAAGGCGGGCAGAUCAUGAGGUCAGGAGAUGGAGACCAUCCUUGCUAACACAGUGAAACCCUGUCUCUACUAAAAGUACAAACAAAAUUAACCGGGCGUGGUGGCAGGCACCUGUAGUCCCAGCUACUCGGGAGGCUGAGGCAGGAGAAUGGCGUGAACCUGGGAGGCAGAGCUUGCAGUGAGCCGAGAUCAUGCCACUGCACUCCAGCCUGGGUGACAGAGCGAGACUCUGUCUCAAAAAAAAAAAAAAAAAGAAAGAAAGAAAGAAAAAGAAAAAGAAACUUAUUCCAAAGAAAUAAUGAUUGAUGUGUCAAAGAUUUACCUACAAGGUCAUUCACUGCAGUUUUGUUUACUAAUGCAAAAAAUGGAAAUAAUGUAGUCAAAGAAGUAUAAAAAAUGAUACAAGUGGGAUACUGUAUGCCAUUGAAAAUAUUUUCAUAACCUAUGUGAAAUGAUAAAAAAUUCAGAUUUUAUUAAUAAAAAAGCACCAAAAAUAACUAAUGUCAUAUUUAUAAUACUUCUUUUGCUUGAUAAAUCAAUAUAUAAGUAUGUGUGUGUACAGUAGUCCCCUCUUGUCCAUGAGGGCUAUGUUCUAAGACCCCCAGUGGAUGCCUAAAACCAUGGAUAGCACUGAACUAUGUUUUCUUCUAGGUAUACAUGCUUAUGAUAAGGUUUAAUUUAUAAACAAGGAAUAGUAGAGAUUAGAAACAAUAACAAAUAAUAGAAUAGUUCCAACAAGAUACUGUAAUAAAAGUUAUGUCAAUCUGGCCUAUUUCUCUCUAAAAAUAUCUUACUAUACGGUACUCAUCACAGUUAACUGAAACUGCAAAUUGCAAAAUCACAAAAAAGGGGGACUACUACAUAUACUUGUAUGUGUAUAUAUCUGUGUGUGUAUAUAUAUGUAUAAAUGGA